AAACAGCCGCGAUUCGAGCUAUGCAUUCGCUAUCCUAAGAUUACCAAUCAGAUUAUUCUACACAGUAAACUGCGAAUGGCUCAUUACAACAGUUAUUUGUUUAUUUGAUACAUUAAAUGGAUAACUGUAGAAAAACUAGAGCUAAUACAUGCUAAAGCCGCAAGGUUGUAUUUAUUAGAUAUUCCAAAUUGGUGAAUCAUAAUAACUUCGCAAAUCUCGUUUAUGACGAGAUAGAUCAUCCAAGUUUCUGCCCUAUCAUGCUUUCGAUGGUAGUGUAUUGGACUACCACGGAUACUAUCUGGGUAACAGGGAAUUAGGGUUCGAUUCUGGAGAAGGAGCCUGAGAAACGGCUACUACAUCUACGGAAGGCAGCAGGCGCGUAAAUUACCCAAUCCUGACUCAGGGAGGUGGUGACAAGAUAUAACGACGCGAUUUCGAUCGCGAUUGUAGUGAGGGUAUUCUAAACAGAACCUAUAGUACGAUUAGGGGGCAAGUCUGGUGCCAGCAGCCGCGGUAAUUCCAGCUCUAUAGCGUAUAUAAAGUUGCUGCAGUUAAGAGCUCGUAGUGAUUCAGACUGUAACUUUCGGGAAAAUCUACUAGUCUCGACUGUACUGUGAGAAAUAAAGUGUUCAGCAGCUUCGCAGAUCUAGCUGAAACGAAGAUUGGACUUGUUAUUCUAAUCGUAAAAAGUGGGGCUAUUUUUCAGAAUUGUGUAUCUGACUCGGUACUGGGGGUGCGUGUGAUCAUCUAUCUCGU
rnacentral:rRNA from 1 species